rnacentral:rRNA from 1 species
UGCAGUCGAGCGGACAGAUGGGAGCUUGCUCCCUGAUGUUAGCGGCGGAGGGUGAGUAACACGUGGGUAACCUGCCUGUAAGACUGGGAUAACUCCGGGAAACCGGGGCUAAUACCGGAUGGUUGUUUGAACCGCAGGUUCAGACAUAAAAGGUGGCUUCGGCUACCACUUACAGAUGGACCCGCGGCGCAUAGCUAGUUGGUGAGGUAACGGCUCACCAAGGCGACGAUGCGUAGCCGACCUGAGAGGGUGAUCGGCCACACUGGGACUGAGACACGGCCCAGACUCCUACGGGAGGCAGCAGUAGGGAAUCUUCCGCAAUGGACGAAAGUCUGACGGAGCAACGCCGCGUGAGUGAUGAAGGUUUUCGGAUCGUAAAGCUCUGUUGUUAGGGAAGAACAAGUGCCGUUCAAAUAGGGCGGCACCUUGACGGUACCUAACCAGAAAGCCACGGCUAACUACGUGCCAGCAGCCGCGGUAAUACGUAGGUGGCAAGCGUUGUCCGGAAUUAUUGGGCGUAAAGGGCUCGCAGGCGGUUUCUUAAGUCUGAUGUGAAAGCCCCCGGCUCAACCGGGGAGGGUCAUUGGAAACUGGGGAACUUGAGUGCAGAAGAGGAGAGUGGAAUUCCACGUGUAGCGGUGAAAUGCGUAGAGAUGUGGAGGAACACCAGUGGCGAAGGCGACUCUCUGGUCUGUAACUGACGCUGAGGAGCGAAAGCGUGGGGAGCGAACAGGAUUAGAUACCCUGGUAGUCCACGCCGUAAACGAUGAGUGCUAAGUGUUAGGGGGUUUCCGCCCCUUAGUGCUGCAGCUAACGCAUUAAGCACUCCGCCUGGGGAGUACGGUCGCAAGACUGAAACUCAAAGGAAUUGACGGGGGCCCGCACAAGCGGUGGAGCAUGUGGUUUAAUUCGAAGCAACGCGAAGAACCUUACCAGGUCUUGACAUCCUCUGACAAUCCUAGAAGAUAGGACGUCCCCUUCGGGGGCAGAGUGACAGGUGGUUGCAUGGUUGUCGUCAGCUCGUGUCGUGAAAAGUUUGGGGUUAAGUCCCGCAACGAGCGCAACCCUUGA